rnacentral:rRNA from 1 species
AGAGUUUGAUCCUGGCUCAGGACGAACGCUGGCGGCGUGCUUAACACAUGCAAGUCGAACGGAAAGGCCCUUCGGGGUACUCGAGUGGCGAACGGGUGAGUAACGCGUGGGUGAUCUGCCCUGCACUUUGGGAUAAGCCUGGGAAACUGGGUCUAAUACCGAAUACACCCUUCUGGCUGCAUGGUCUGGUUGGGGAAAGCUUUUGCGGUGUGGGAUGGGCCCGCGGCCUAUCAGCUUGUUGGUGAGGUUACGGCUCACCAAGGCGACGACGGGUAGCCGGCCUGAGAGGGUGACCGGCCACACUGGGACUGAGAUACGGCCCAGACUCCUACGGGAGGCAGCAGUGGGGAAUAUUGCACAAUGGGCGCAAGCCUGAUGCAGCGACGCCGCGUGAGGGAUGACGGCCUUCGGGUUGUAAACCUCUUUCGCCAGGGACGAAGCGCAAGUGACGGUACCUGGAGAAGAAGGACCGGCCAACUACGUGCCAGCAGCCGCGGUAUACGUAGGGUCCGAGCGUUGUCCGGAAUUACUGGGCGUAAAGAGCUCGUGGGUGGUUUGUCGCGUUGUUCGUGAAAACUCACAGCUCAACUGUGGGCGUGCGGGCGAUACGGGCAGACUGGAGUACUGCAGGGGAGACUGGAAUUCCUGGUGUAGCGGUGGAAUGCGCAGAUAUCAGGAGGAACACCGGUGGCGAAGGCGGGUCUCUGGGCAGUAACUGACGCUGAGGAGCGAAAGCGUGGGGAGCGAACAGGAUUAGAUACCCUGGUAGUCCACGCCGUAAACGGUGGGUACUAGGUGUGGGUUUCCUUCCUUGGGAUCCGUGCCGUAGCUAACGCAUUAAGUACCCCGCCUGGGGAGUACGGCCGCAAGGCUAAAACUCAAAGAAAUUGACGGGGGCCCGCACAAGCGGCGGAGCAUGUGGAUUAAUUCGAUGCAACGCGAAGAACCUUACCUGGGUUUGACAUGCACAGGACGUGCCUAGAGAUAGGUAUUCCCUUGUGGCCUGUGUGCAGGUGGUGCAUGGCUGUCGUCAGCUCGUGUCGUGAGAUGUUGGGUUAAGUCCCGCAACGAGCGCAACCCUUAUCUUAUGUUGCCAGCGCGUAAUGGCGGGGACUCGUGAGAGACUGCCGGGGUCAACUCGGAGGAAGGUGGGGAUGACGUCAAGUCAUCAUGCCCCUUAUGUCCAGGGCUUCACACAUGCUACAAUGGCCGGUACAAAGGGCUGCGAUGCCGUGAGGUGGAGCGAAUCCUUUCAAAGCCGGUCUCAGUUCGGAUCGGGGUCUGCAACUCGACCCCGUGAAGUCGGAGUCGCUAGUAAUCGCAGAUCAGCAACGCUGCGGUGAAUACGUUCCCGGGCCUUGUACACACCGCCCGU